UACGAAGGGGGCUAGCGUUGCUCGGAAUCACCGGGCGUAAAGGGUGCGUAGGCGGGUCUUUAAGUCAGGGGUGAAAUCCUGGAGCUCAACUCCAGAACUGCCUUUGAUACUGAAGAUCUUGAGUUCGGGAGAGGUGAGUGGAACUGCGAGUGUAGAGGUGAAAUUCGUAGAUAUUCGCAAGAACACCAGUGGCGAGGGCGGCUCACUGGCCCGAUACUGACGCUGAGGCACGAAAGCGUGGGGAGCAAACAGG
rnacentral:rRNA from 1 species